rnacentral:rRNA from 1 species
CCUACGGGUGACAGCAGUGGGGAAUAUUGCACAAUGGGGGAAAGCCUGAUGCAGCGACGCCGCGUGAGUGAAGAAGUACUUCGUUAUGUAAAGCUCUAUCAGCAGGGAAGAAAAUGACGGUACCUGAGUAAGAAGCCCCGGCUAACUACGUGCCAGCAGCCGCGGUAAUACGGAGGGGGCGAGCGUUAUCCGGAUUUACUGGGUGUAACGGGAGCGUAGACGGCAGUGCAAGUCAAGAGUGAAAGGCGCGGGCGCAACCCCCGGACUGCUCUGGAAACUGGACGGCUGGAGUGCAUGAGAGGUAAGUGGAAUUCCUAGUGUAGCGGUGAAAUGCGUAGAUAUUAGGAGGAACACCAGUGGCGAAGGCGACUAACUGGACUAUAACUGACGUUGAGGCGCGAAAGCGUGGGUAGCAAACAGGAUUAGAUACCCUGGUAGUC